UACAGGGGGGGCAAGCGUUGUUCGGAAUUACUGGGCGUAAAGGGCCAGUAGGCGGCCGACUAAGUCCGACGUGAAAUCCCCAGGCUUAACCUGGGAACUGCGUCGGAUACUGGUUGGCUUGAAUUCGGGAGAGGGAUGCAGAAUUCCAGGUGUAGCGGUGAAAUGCGUAGAUAUCUGGAGGAACACCAAUGGCGAAGGCAGCACUCUGGGACGGUACUGACGCUGAGACGCGAUAGCGUGGGGAGCAAACAGG
rnacentral:rRNA from 1 species